AUUUGUGGGGGUUACAGACUUCCGGUCGGUGAUGUAAUACCCCCACAUACCUUUGUUUCCUGCCGUUAGCAUUGUUUCACCGUCUGAUUUAAAAUUUCGAACGCGAGCUAAGGAUACUUGGACAGAAAUUGGAUAUAAUAAGUUACGUUUCAGUGUCAUCACAGACCGUACAAAAUAUCAUAUUUAAUAUGGUGAAACGUUUGACAUGGAUAUUCACAUCAUGAGUGAGACUGAGUGUUUCGAGAUGCAGCAUGAUGCGAGUUGAAAUAAACACACGUGAAACGAAGGAAUAUCAGAAUAAUGGUUUUACAUCUACCAGCUAGAGUCCGAGUGCUUGGGCUGACCGAAAAGAAAAACCAGAAAAUGCUCCGAAGUAAAGAACUGAUACAGAAAAAGAAAAAACAACAGAUUUUCAAGAAAUGAGAACGUUGCAACGAUAGACCGAUCUGGACAAUUGACCAUUGGAAUGUUGCUUUAUUUGGCGGGUAUCGAACUGUCUUUACAUGUAUUUUCACGUCAUAGUAUUUUGAUCCAUUGUUGAUUUGAAAGUAAUUUCCAAAUAAAAAAAUAUUUAGCAAUUA